AGAGUUUGAUCAUGGCUCAGAACGAACGCUGGCGGCGUGGAUAAGACAUGCAAGUCGAGCGCUGAUUGCAAGGUAGCAAUAUUUUGCAGUUGGAGCGGCGCAAGGGUGCGUAACACGUGGGUAAUCUGCCAUGAAGUCUGGAAUAACUUGCUGAAAGGCGAGCUAAUACCGGAUGUGACAAUCUCGGGGCAUCUCGAGGUUUUCAAAGCUGGGGACCGUAAGGCCUGGCGCUUCAUGAUGAGCCCGCGGCCUAUCAGCUAGUUGGUGAGGUAACGGCUCACCAAGGCUAAGACGGGUAGCUGGUCUGAGAGGACGACCAGCCACACUGGAACUGAGACACGGUCCAGACACCUACGGGUGGCAGCAGUCGAGAAUUUUUCACAAUGGGCGCAAGCCUGAUGGAGCGACGCCGCGUGGGGGAUGAAUGGCUUCGGCCCGUAAACCCCUGUCAUUUGCGAACAAAUUGGUUCAAUUAACACCUGAACCAUUGAUAGUAGCGAAAGAGAAAGGGACGGCUAACUCUGUGCCAGCAGCCGCGGUAAUACAGAGGUCCCAAGCGUUGUUCGGAUUCACUGGGCGUAAAGGGUGCGUAGGUGGUGAGGUAAGUCGGAUGUGAAAUCUCGGAGCUCAACUCCGAAACUGCAUUGGAAACUACCUUGCUCGAGGAAUGGAGGGGGGACUGGAAUACUUGGUGUAGCAGUGAAAUGCGUAGAUAUCAAGUGGAACACCAGUGGCGAAGGCGAGUCCCUGGACAUCUCCUGACACUGAGGCACGAAAGCUAGGGGAGCAAACAGGAUUAGAUACCCUAGUAGUCC
rnacentral:rRNA from 1 species